GCAGCCUCCUGUGUAAUUUUCCUCAUCACAAGGGAAGCUCUCCCUGAACAGCCUUUUCGCACACUACAGCGAAUAAGCCUGAUGCUGAAAUCCUUGCAUAAAGGAAGCCUGAUUUAGGAGCUAUAAAAUGCAAUCAGUACACAAACCAGAAGCUGGAAUCAUCUGCUAAUGGAACUUUUAAUUGAGAAGUGACCACUGACAUGAGACGGCUUCCUUUGUAUGGCAUGCAGUUUAUUUAUACAAAGACUAAACAACUGCAGCAUUUCAAAAAUUAUUUGCAAAUGGAUAAAAGAUGUUGGCGAGGCAAGUUUUCCAGAUCCAAUACAUGUCUACUCUAGCAGUUACAAGUAGCUCCGAGAUCAGCACAAACUGUUCUCUAGUGUUGUUAUGUGGAGCCUUGAUAUGGCCAGAUGGCAAAGGCCAUUUCACACACCAGGUUGAGACAAAUCCAGAGUGUGCAGUCAAGAGUGCUCCAACUCAACAAGGCUCCCGAUGACACAAGUUUGCAAAGACACACCUGUGAGGUUCGUGAUUUACAUGUUUUGAUGUACACUUAAAAUAUCUUGGGUGUACACCUAAAAACAAUGUGUGAAAUUGUUCUACUGCACCUUCACCCCUCUGUGCAACUGGUGUCACUGUGGGAGCUCAAUGAAAUGACUGUCAAUACUGGAAGUUAAGGGGG